AACUUUUAGGAAUGGAUCACUUGGCUCUCGCAUCGAUGAAGAACGCAGCGAAAUGCGAUACGUAAUGUGAAUUGCAGAAUUCAGUGAAUCAUCGAAUCUUUGAACGCACCUUGCGCCCCUUGGAAUUCCGAGGGGCUCACCCGUUGCAGGGUCGUGAACAUCCUUCAACCUUUCUGGGUUCCUUCACCGGGGCAGGCUUGGACUUCGGGUGUCUUUCAUUGAUGGCCUCUUUGAAGCCAGCUCCUCCUAAAUGGAUUAGUGUGGUCUGCUUUGCCGAUCCUUGACGUGAUAAGAUGUUUCUACGUCUUGGGUUUCGCACUGUCGCUUUAGUCCCCGCUUCUAACCGUCUUGCAUUCAAGACAGAGUUUUAAACCUUGACCUCAAAUCGGGUGAGACUACCCGCUGAACUUAAGCAUAUCAAUAAGCGGAGGCU
rnacentral:misc_RNA from 1 species